rnacentral:rRNA from 1 species
GAGGCAAUAACAGGUCUGUGAUGCCCUUAGAUGUUCUGGGCCGCACGCGCGCUACAAUGCUAGGUUCAACGAGUCUGCGACUUGGCCGAGAGGCCUGGUUAAUCUUGUGAAAUCCUAGCGUGCUUGGGCUUGCCUCUUGCAACUAGAGGCACCAACGAGGAAUUCCUAGUAGACGCAGGUCAUCAACCUGCAUCGAUUACGUCCCUGCCCUUUGUACACACCGCCCGUCGCUUCUACCGAUUGGUCGUCCCGGUGAACAAUCGGGAGGGCGCGCACCAGGUCAGCAAUGGCCGGCGCGCGUCCGAACUUUUGUAAAUUUGGUCGACUAGAGGAAGAAGAAGUCGUAACAAGGUUUCCGUAGGUGAACCUGCGGAAGGAUCAUUAGCGUUGAAUGGUUGUUGCCAUUUCGUAAAAAUGUGGAUCGUCUCUGUUGCUGGAUACCGGGAUGGAACGCCCUCGUGGUGGUUCUUGUCUUUCACGAAUUGGAUCAAAACGGUGGCUAAAGUCGAAUUGGUUUCAUAACCUACAAACAAUAUAUACAACUCUUAGCAAUGGAUAUCUUGGUUCCCACAACGAUGAAGAACGCAGCGAAAUGCGAUACGUAAUGCGAAUUGCAGAAUUCAGUGAAUCAUCGAAUCUUUGAACGCAAGUUGCGCUUUCGAGAGCCCUCGGAAGCAUGCCUCUCUGAGUAUCGGUUUCCCAUCUCACACCCGGUGUGGAGAAUGAGGGUCGGGCGCCUCGGCGCCGGUCCCUUCAAAUCAGGCCGGCCUGGUCAAGUCCAUCGGAUUGCUGGUACGAUAGUCCGUCAUGGCGCAAGGAACCACUUGGCAAGAUCUCAGAUGAGGUAAGACUACCCGCCGAAUUUAAGCAUAUCAAUAAGCGGAGGA